rnacentral:rRNA from 1 species
GACGAACGCUGGCGGCGUGCUUAACACAUGCAAGUCGAACGGAACGGCCCUGCUUUUGUGGGGUGCUCGAGUGGCGAACGGGUGAGUAACACGUGAGUAACCUGCACUUGACUUUGGGAUAACUUCAGGAAACUGGGGCUAAUACCGGAUAGGAGCUCCUGCUGCAUGGUGGGGGUUGGAAAGUUUCGGCGGUUGGGGAUGGACUCGCGGCGGAUCAGCUUGUUGGUGGGGUAGUGGCUUAGCAAGGCUUUGACGGGUAGCUGGUCUGGGAGGGUGACCGGCCACACUGGGAAUGAGACACGGACUCGAAUGCUACGGGGAGCAGCAGUGGGGAAUAUUGGACGAGGGGCGCAAGUCUGACCCAGCAACGCCGCGUGAGUGAUGCAGGCGGUAGGGUUGUAAAGCUCUUUUACCCGGGAUGAUAAUGACAGUACCGGGAGAAUAAGCUCCGGCUAACUCCGUG